rnacentral:rRNA from 1 species
ACCAUCGAGUCUUUGAACGCAAGUUGCGCCCAAAGCCUUCGGGUCGAGGGCACGUCUGCCUGGGUGUCACGCAACGUCGCUCCCUCACUUCCCUCUUGUGGGGCUCGU